UACGAAGGGGGCAAGCGUUGUUCGGAAUUACUGGGCGUAAAGGGCGCGUCGGCGGUGCGUUAAGUUCGGCGUGAAAGCCCUGGGCUCAACCCGGGAACUGCGCUUGAUACUGGCGCGCUUGAAUCCAGGAGAGGUUGGUGGAAUUCCCAGUGUAGAGGUGAAAUUCGUAGAGAUUGGGAAGAACACCGGUGGCGAAGGCGGCCAACUGGACUGGUAUUGACGCUGAGGCGCGAAAGCGUGGGGAGCAAACAGG
rnacentral:rRNA from 1 species